GAUGAACGCUGGCGGCGUGCCUAAUACAUGCAAGUCGAGCGAACGGACGAGAAGCUUGCUUCUCUGAUGUUAGCGGCGGACGGGUGAGUAACACGUGGAUAACCUACCUAUAAGACUGGGAUAACUUCGGGAAACCGUAGCUAAUACCGGAUAAUAUUUUGAACCGCAUGGUUCAAAAGUGAAAGACGGUCUUGCUGUCACUUAUAGAGGGAUCCGCGCUGCAUUAGCUAGUUGGUAAGGUAACGGCUUACCAAGGCAACGAUGCAUAGCCGACCUGAGAGGGUGAUCGGCGACACUGGAACUGAGACACGGUCCAGACUCCUACGGGAGGCAGCAGUAGGGAAUCUUCCGCAAUGGGCGAAAGCCUGACGGAGCAACGCCGCGUGAGUGAUGAAGGUCUUCGGAUCGUAAAACUCUGUUAUUAGGGAAGAACAUAUGUGUAAGUAACUGUGCACAGCUUGACGGUACCUAAUCAGAAAGCCACGGCUAACUACGUG
rnacentral:rRNA from 1 species